UACGUAGGGUGCAAGCGUUGUCCGGAAUUAUUGGGCGUAAAGCGUCCGCAGGUGGCUGUGUAAGUCUGCUGUCAAAGAGCAAAGCUCAACUUUGUAAAGGCAGUGGAAACUACACGGCUAGAGUGCGUUCGGGGCAGAGGGAAUUCCUGGUGUAGCGGUGAAAUGCGUAGAGAUCAGGAAGAACACCGGUGGCGAAGGCGCUCUGCUAGGCCGCAACUGACACUGAGGGACGAAAGCUAGGGGAGCGAAUGGG
rnacentral:rRNA from 1 species